GGAUUGAAAGCUAACUGUUAGAGCAUGGUGCUGAUAACGCCAAGGUCGUGGGUUUGAUCCCCGUUCGGUCCC
rnacentral:tRNA from 1 species